GGAGAAAUAAUGAGAGCGAUCAGAGCCCUCCUACGCAUCUCGUUCCCCUCCUCAUAUACUCCACCCCUUCAUUUGUCCUACCAUAAACUUCUGAACUCGCAUCCCUGACAGAUCCUUCUCUUUCCAACUGUAAAAUCAAAGCAACAGGAUUGAACUUCAGUACUUUGGCUGUCUAUCUGCAGUUUCAGCCCCGCAUCAACGGAUAACCUCUUCCGUCUCCACGACAACCAGCAUCUUUCCUCCCUGCACGGCUCGCCACUCCACCUUGCGCUCUUUCCACGGCUAAAGUGGAGACAUCACGGCGCAAUGUAACCUGCUCGUCCUCCUAUCCUCCAAAAUCCAGGACCCAACGACUGCACAACCACAUAUCAACCUACACCCGAAUUCUCCAAGCCAGUCAAGUCUUCACCUGCUCAGUAUGGAUCUGACCACUAACCGAGGACUAAACCUGCUGCUCAACUUUCUGCUCAUCGUUGUGGCUCUACUGCUCAUGCUCAUUUUGGUCAAGCUCAUGUGACCCAGUCAUGUGAUCUGCAAAAUAAUCAGGAUUUAGAAUAACGGUACAUUCACACGGGGCGAAAGCGUUAACUAUUGGAAGGCUUGUCUGAAGCGUGGCCAACAGCCAAUCACAGUGCUCCGGUCUUGCAUAAACGUAACUGGCUGGCUCACACUAGGUUAUUUGCAUAAGGCGAUCUGAUUGACUGACGCACGCAUUGGCGCUUGAAAAGUUGAGAAGUCUGGUGCGUUGACGGAUCCACAAUUCAGUUCAGCAACGCAUUACGUCACCCAUUAAAAAUAAAUCAUGAGAAGCGUUAACGCUUACGCCCCGUGUGAAUGUACCGUAAGGGCAGCUGAGGUGUUUUAUAUUAUCUUUCUUAAACCAAUUGAAAUAUGCUGUAAACAAUAUGAUUCAUUGGGCAAUCUCUCUCUGUCCACCCUCUCUCUCUCCCCAAAGCCCGUCCACUAAUAAGGGUGAUGCAAAAUGAUUGGCAGGCAGAGAGUGUUUCUAUCUAUGUAGUUUCUGGCUAGAACAUGUUUCGAGACAGGUGUGAUUUGUCAGGACACCUAUUUCAGUGAUGUCUGUCAGGUUAUAUUAUAAAAAAGAUUGCUUACAGCACUUUACACAUGCUCAGCAUUUUCUAGUAGCUUACUGAAGUGCUACAAUAAAUAAUAAUAAAGAAGCAAAAGCCGAUAAGCUCAUCUAUAUAAAAUAUAUUGCAGUUGAACCGAGACCGACAGCAUAUUACUGCUUCCUAUAUCACUGCACCCUCUAGUGGCCACUGACUGAUACUGAUAUAAAAACAACACGAGCAAGAUUAAGCAUAUACAAAAAUAUUAGUAUAAAAAAACCCUGGGACUAAAAACCUAGUAGACAUUUUUGCUCAAAUCACCUCACACACCAAAUUAAACGUUUUAACUAACCCACAUAAAAACACUACAGCAAAAACAAUGACAUUUACUAUAGUACACAACAUUUGGUUACACUUUAUUUUGCAGUGUCCAUGUUAGAGUGUAAUUAUACAUUUAAGUACUACAUAAUAAUGAUUAAGAACAUGCACUUACUAAAGGGUUAAGGUUCGAUUUAGGGUUAGUUGCAUUAAAUUAUGCACAAGUCACGGUAAUAUUUAAUACAAUUGCUAGAAGCUAUAGUGUUUUUGAACUUUUUACAACAGUAUACUAUAGUAAUUAAACUAUAUUAUACUACAGUUUACCAUAAUUAAUACAAUAAUAUACUAUAUAGGGUUCCCACACCUUAGUUAACUUAAAAUUCAAGGACCUUUCAAGGACUUUCCAUGUCCAAUACCCUUAAAUUCAAGAACUAAAUGUGGUGACACAUUUCAAGUGAGAGCAAGGUUACAUCAUGUUACCUUUAAAGAUACAUUGUAACAGUUUCCUUUCGAGGGAACUCGCGCUGCGUCACUGCAGUGACACUUUGGGCAUGCCUCCAAGGAUAAGUGUGUCUGAAUGUGUAUAUCAAAUUCAACCAAUGGUUAGGGCUGGGCAAAUUGUCCCCCUAAAAAAAUCUGUGAUUUUUUUAAUAAAAAACUCGAUUUACGAUUCGAUUUGAUUUUUCCCCCGCCCCCAUUUAAAAGAAAAUAAUUGCAAACUGUACAUAUAUUUUAAAAAUAUAUAUUUAUUAUAUUUAAUUAAAAUGCAUCAACAUAAAAUUGCCGUAAAUCCAAACCAACUCCAACUCGGGAGAGGGGAGAGGCAGAGGGCUGCGCCGCAGGGAGCGUGCUACGGAAACCCUAAAGGAAGAUUUGGUGAAUGCAAAAUGUAUGUACUACGCUAUACUGCAGAGGGGGAGAAAAAAAUCUAAAACAAAAAACGUUUUUUUUUUUGAAAAUACGAAUCGAUUUGACCUACCAACUCUAUUUUAAAAUCAAAUCGAUUUUUUCCCAGCCCUACCAAUGGUGAGGCUUAACAACAAAGACAUUGUGACGGGGGAGCCAAGAAGUAUAUCGCUAUCUGAAAUAUUGCCAUAGACAGUGUAACAGGGACGCAGGAAGUAUGGCAAGGGAGACACAGCGUCUCGUUCCCUUCUCAGGGAACAACAGUUACAUACGUAACCCGAGACGUUUUCAUGUGUCAAACACAACUAUGCAAAAAACAUUCACAUACAGAAGAUAAAAGCAUUUAAAGCGAACAGUUUAGCAUGUGUGCCUAAAAGGCUAGAAAUUUUAUAUUAUCCUACAUUACAUACACAGGGAAUAAUAUGGAUUAUAAAUAAUAAACCGAGGAAUUGUAUUAAUAGUUUAAAAAAAAACACUGGUUUUGCUAUAAAUAUCUAUAUUAUAAUAGCCAUAGUUGUAAUCAUCAUAUAUUAUUCACAAUCACAAAGUGUUGUAAAUAUACAAAGACUGAGACUGCUUCGAUUUUUGACUUAUUUCAUUACAUCUAAUCAAUAUCACAUAAAGUGCAAGUCUGAGUAUUUGUUUUGUUCCCAUCACAUGAUUCAAGAUGUCAUUUUUAUCACAGUGUUUUUUAUUCUUUUUGGAAAAUAUAUGUGUGAAUAAUAUAUUAUUAAAGUGAAGAUGAAAUAUUGUGAAUGUGUGUUUAUAAAUGGGAACUAAUAAACAAAUGCUUUUUGUGUCAGAUUA